GGCAGACGGGUGAGUAACGCGUGAGGAACGUACCUUUUGGUUCGGAACAACCCAGGGAAACUUGGGCUAAUACCGGAUAAGCCCUAACGGGGAAAGAUUUAUCGCCGAAAGAUCGGCCCGCGUCUGAUUAGCUAGUUGGUGAGGUAAUGGCUCACCAAGGCGACGAUCAGUAGCUGGUCUGAGAGGAUGAUCAGCCACAUUGGGACUGAGACACGGUCCAAACUCCAUACGGGAGGCAGCAGUGGGGAAUAUUGGACAAUGGGCGCAAGCCUGAUCCAGCCAUGCCGCGUGAGUGAUGAAGGCCCUAGGGUUGUAAAGCUCUUUUGUGCGGGAAGAUAAUGACGGUACCGCAAGAAUAAGCCCCGGCUAACUUCGUGCCAGCCGCCGCGG
rnacentral:rRNA from 1 species